AUUGAACGCUGGCGGCAGGCCUAACACAUGCAAGUCGAGCGGAUGAAGGGAGCUUGCUCCUGGAUUCAGCGGCGGACGGGUGAGUAAUGCCUAGGAAUCUGCCUGGUAGUGGGGGAUAACGUCCGGAAACGGGCGCUAAUACCGCAUACGUCCUGAGGGAGAAAGUGGGGGAUCUUCGGACCUCACGCUAUCAGAUGAGCCUAGGUCGGAUUAGCUAGUUGGUGGGGUAAAGGCCUACCAAGGCGACGAUCCGUAACUGGUCUGAGAGGAUGAUCAGUCACACUGGAACUGAGACACGGUCCAGACUACUACGGGAGGCAGCAGUGGGGAAUAUUGGACAAUGGGCGAAAGCCUGAUCCAGACAUGCCGCGUGUGUGAAGAAGGUCUUCGGAUUUUAAAGCACUUUAAGUUGGGAGGAAGGGCAGUAAGUUAAUACCUUGCUGUGUUGACGUUACCAACAGAAUAAGCACCGGCUAACUUCGUG
rnacentral:rRNA from 1 species